GGGCCCGUGGUCUAGCGGCAUGACGUAACCUUCACACGGUUAAGGUCACCAGUUCGAUUCUGGUCGGGCCCA
rnacentral:tRNA from 1 species